UACAGAGACCUCAAGCGUUAUCCGGAAUCAUUGGGCGUAAAGCGUACCGAUAGGUGUUUUUACAAGUCAGAAGUGAAAUCUCUCAGCUUAACUGGGAGACUGUCUUUUGAAACUGUAAAACUAGAAGGGCAAAGAGGAAGCUGGAACAAACGGUGUAGUAGUGAAAUGCGUUGAUAUCGUUUGGAACACCAAUAGCGUAGGCAGGCUUCUGGGUGCCACUUGACACUGCUAGGACGAAAGCGUGGGUAGCGAAUGGG
rnacentral:rRNA from 1 species